CCUACGGGUGGCAGCAGUGGGGGAUAUUGGACAAUGGACGCAAGUCUGAUGCAGCGACGCCGCGUGAGGGAAGACGGUCUUCGGAUUGUAAACCUCUGUCUUUGGGGAAGAAGAUGACGGUGCCCAAAGAGGAAGCACCGGCUAACUACGUGGCAGCAGCCGCGGUAAUACGUAGGGAGCGGGAGGUGUCCGGAAUUACUGGGGGUAAAGGGAGCGUAGGCGGGCGAGAAAGUUGAAUGUUAAAUAUACCGGCUUAACUGGUAGCUGCGUUCAAAACUUCUUGUCUUGAGUGAAGUAGAGGCAGGCGGAAUUCCUAGUGUAGCGGUGAAAUGCGUAGAUAUUAGGAGGAACACCAGUGGCGAAGGCGGCCUGCUGGGCUUUAACUGACGCUGAGGCGCGAAAGCGUGGGGAGCAAACAGGAUUAGAUACCCUUGUAGUC
rnacentral:rRNA from 1 species